UCGCUGUGGUUUCCACCCACCCACCCAUGCUUCAGUAUCUUUUGUAUUUCCGUUAUCUUUUGACCCCACUAUCAGACACGAUUUCCACUUGGCCAACGGCAUGCUUUGCUGAAGUGGCAAAAGGGAGGACCUAAAUAGACAAGGACAGCAGAAGGCUUAAAUUUCCUCCCUUGUUUUUUUUUCCUUUCUGUUUUGUGAGCAAGUAAAUAGAUCAGGAUCAUGGGCUGGAGGUUCCCUUCUGCAAAGUCCAGAAUAUGGUCCACUGACUUUUUCUUACAUAUCCACCAACCAAGAAGGUGAGACAUGGCUUUGAAUAGCUGAGCAUUCAGGAAAGCCAGAAAUGCCACAGGGAGCUUUUGUGGCCAUAAAGCACAGCUUUAUGAGUGGAAACAGGAUCUAGAAAAACAUUCAACUAAUAAGUCUUUAAAGUCUCUGAAAUCUUAUGCCGGAUAACCCCUGAUUUCACAGAGGUUCGUUUUCCUCUGUAACUCUGUUCUCUUUUCCUCCUGAUUGUGAGCCAUCCUUGUUGACUAAAUCCAGGUUCCUGUCGUUCCCACUUUGCAGAGAACCAAAAGGGGCUUAAUGCAUUCUCUUAUUUUAAAAGAGACCGCUGUAGAGGUAGAGUCGGUUCCCAGUGUAUUUUGAAGAAACUCUUUAUCAAGAGAGGGGAAAAGACUUCUUGCUUCUCUCUAACUGAAAUUUGGAUGUCAUAACGGCUGUUGUGACUUUGGAUGUAUCUGUUCUGAACAAUGAUUGUUGCAUGGCAACAAAAAGAGGGCCUGGAUUCUUCAGGAUAAGGUAUUUUCCCUUUUAUUUUCCUUUGAAUGAUCAGCAGUAACAGUCUGUCCUCCUUGUUCCUCAAUAUGUGACCAAAGUAUUCUAAUUUUCCACGUUUUACCAUUCCACUGUCUUUACUUGCUCUAGGAUUUUUUUCGCUGGUCACCGUCUUGCUCAGAGACAUUUUUACCAUCUGCAUUGAAUAAUAACUUCACAUCUUUCAAAUGCUUCUAUCUUUUUAAAAAAAGUUGCCUGAGUUAAAACAUCUAUUAUUCCAUGCAGCAGAAUUGAGAAUGUAUAGCCAAUGUGUUGCUUAUUUAUUAAGCCAUUUAAUAAGCAACUGUAUUGCUUUUUU